rnacentral:tRNA from 1 species
UCCCUGGUGGCUCAGAGGAGAAAGCAUCUGCCUGCAAUGCAAGAAACCCGGGUUCGAUCCCUGGGUUGGGAA